GCUUCCUACGGGACGCAGCAGUAGGGAAUUUUCGUCAAUGGGCGCAAGCCUGAACGAGCAAUGCCGCGUGAACGAGGAAGGUCUUCGGAUCGUAAAGUUCUGUUGAAGGGGAAAAAGAGCGGAGAGAGGAAAUGAACUCCGAUUGAUAUUACCCUUCGAGGAAGUCACGGCUAACUACGUGCCAGCAGCCGCGGUAAUACGUAGGUGGCGAGCGUUAUCCGGAUUUAUUGGGUUUAAAGGGUGCGCAGGCGGGAGAUCAAGUCAGCGGUAAAAUUUCGGGGCUCAACCCCUGCCGGCCGUUGAAA
rnacentral:rRNA from 1 species